CCUACGGGAGGCAGCAGUGAGGAAUAUUGGUCAAUGGACGAGAGUCUGAACCAGCCAAGUAGCGUGAAGGAUGACUGCCCUAUGGGUUGUAAACUUCUUUUAUAUGGGAAUAAAAUGUUCCACGUGUGGGAUUUUGUAUGUACCAUAUGAAUAAGGAUCGGCUAACUCCGUGCCAGCAGCCGCGGUAAUACGGAGGAUCCGAGCGUUAUCCGGAUUUAUUGGGUUUAAAGGGAGCGUAGGUGGAUUGUUAAGUCAGUUGUGAAAGUUUGCGGCUCAACCGUAAAAUUGCAGUUGAAACUGGCAGUCUUGAGUACAGUAGAGGUGGGCGGAAUUCGUGGUGGAGCGGUGAAAUGCUUAGAUAUCACGAAGAAAUCCGAUUGCGAAGGCAGUUCACUGGACUGCAACUGACACUGAGGCUCGAAAGUGUGGGUAUCAAACAGGAUUAGAUACCCGGGUAGUC
rnacentral:rRNA from 1 species